GACGAACGCUGGCGGCGUGCUUAACACAUGCAAGUCGAACGGAAAGGCCCUGCUUUUGUGGGGUGCUCGAGUGGCGAACGGGUGAGUAACACGUGGGUAACCUGCCCUUGACUUUGGGAUAACUUCAGGAAACUGGGGCUAAUACCGGAUAGGAGCUCCUGCUGCAUGGUGGGGGUUGGAAAGUUUCGGCGGUUGGGUAUGGACUCGCGGCUUAUCAGCUUGUUUGUGGGGUAGUGGCUUACCAAGGCUUUGACGGGUAGCCGGCCUGAGAGGGUGACCGGCAACAUUGGGACUGAGAGACGGCCCAGACUCCUACGGGAGGCAGCAGUGGGGAAUAUUGCACAAUGGGCGGAAGCCUGAUGCAGCAACGCCGCGUGCGGGAUGACGGCCUUCGGGUUGUAAACCGCUUUCGCCUGUGACGAAGCGUGAGUGACGGUAAUGGGUAAAGAAGCACCGGCUAACUACGUG
rnacentral:rRNA from 1 species